rnacentral:rRNA from 1 species
GGGUUGUGAGGUUAAGCGACUAAGCGUACACGGUGGAUGCCCUGGCAGUCAGAGGCGAUGAAGGACGUGCUAAUCUGCGAUAAGCGUCGGUAAGGUGAUAUGAACCGUUAUAACCGGCGAUUUCCGAAUGGGGAAACCCAGUGUGAUUCGUCACACUAUCAUUAACUGAAUCCAUAGGUUAAUGAGGCGAACCGGGGGAACUGAAACAUCUAAGUACCCCGAGGAAAAGAAAUCAACCGAGAUUCCCCCAGUAGCGGCGAGCGAACGGGGAGCAGCCCAGAGCCUGAAUCAGUGUGUGUGUUAGUGGAAGCGUCUGGAAAGGCGUGCGAUACAGGGUGACAGCCCCGUACACAAAAAUGCACAUGCUGUGAGCUCGAUGAGUAGGGCGGGACACGUGGUAUCCUGUCUGAAUAUGGGGGGACCAUCCUCCAAGGCUAAAUACUCCUGACUGACCGAUAGUGAACCAGUACCGUGAGGGAAAGGCGAAAAGAACCCCGGCGAGGGGAGUGAAAAAGAACCUGAAACCGUGUACGUACAAGCAGUGGGAGCACGCUUAGGCGUGUGACUGCGUACCUUUUGUAUAAUGGGUCAGCGACUUAUAUUCUGUAGCAAGGUUAACCGAAUAGGGGAGCCGAAGGGAAACCGAGUCUUAACUGGGCGUUAAGUUGCAGGGUAUAGACCCGAAACCCGGUGAUCUAGCCAUGGGCAGGUUGAAGGUUGGGUAACACUAACUGGAGGACCGAACCGACUAAUGUUGAAAAAUUAGCGGAUGACUUGUGGCUGGGGGUGAAAGGCCAAUCAAACCGGGAGAUAGCUGGUUCUCCCCGAAAGCUAUUUAGGUAGCGCCUCGUGAAUUCAUCUCCGGGGGUAGAGCACUGUUUCGGCAAGGGGGUCAUCCCGACUUACCAACCCGAUGCAAACUGCGAAUACCGGAGAAUGUUAUCACGGGAGACACACGGCGGGUGCUAACGUCCGUCGUGAAGAGGGAAACAACCCAGACCGCCAGCUAAGGUCCCAAAGUCAUGGUUAAGUGGGAAACGAUGUGGGAAGGCCCAGACAGCCAGGAUGUUGGCUUAGAAGCAGCCAUCAUUUAAAGAAAGCGUAAUAGCUCACUGGUCGAGUCGGCCUGCGCGGAAGAUGUAACGGGGCUAAACCAUGCACCGAAGCUGCGGCAGCGACGCUUAUGCGUUGUUGGGUAGGGGAGCGUUCUGUAAGCCUGUGAAGGUGUACUGUGAGGUAUGCUGGAGGUAUCAGAAGUGCGAAUGCUGACAUAAGUAACGAUAAAGCGGGUGAAAAGCCCGCUCGCCGGAAGACCAAGGGUUCCUGUCCAACGUUAAUCGGGGCAGGGUGAGUCGACCCCUAAGGCGAGGCCGAAAGGCGUAGUCGAUGGGAAACAGGUUAAUAUUCCUGUACUUGGUGUUACUGCGAAGGGGGGACGGAGAAGGCUAUGUUGGCCGGGCGACGGUUGUCCCGGUUUAAGCGUGUAGGCUGGUUUUCCAGGCAAAUCCGGAAAAUCAAGGCUGAGGCGUGAUGACGAGGCACUACGGUGCUGAAGCAACAAAUGCCCUGCUUCCAGGAAAAGCCUCUAAGCAUCAGGUAACAUCAAAUCGUACCCCAAACCGACACAGGUGGUCAGGUAGAGAAUACCAAGGCGCUUGAGAGAACUCGGGUGAAGGAACUAGGCAAAAUGGUGCCGUAACUUCGGGAGAAGGCACGCUGAUAUGUAGGUGAAGUCCCUCGCGGAUGGAGCUGAAAUCAGUCGAAGAUACCAGCUGGCUGCAACUGUUUAUUAAAAACACAGCACUGUGCAAACACGAAAGUGGACGUAUACGGUGUGACGCCUGCCCGGUGCCGGAAGGUUAAUUGAUGGGGUCAGCGCAAGCGAAGCUCUUGAUCGAAGCCCCGGUAAACGGCGGCCGUAACUAUAACGGUCCUAAGGUAGCGAAAUUCCUUGUCGGGUAAGUUCCGACCUGCACGAAUGGCGUAAUGAUGGCCAGGCUGUCUCCACCCGAGACUCAGUGAAAUUGAACUCGCUGUGAAGAUGCAGUGUACCCGCGGCAAGACGGAAAGACCCCGUGAACCUUUACUAUAGCUUGACACUGAACAUUGAGCCUUGAUGUGUAGGAUAGGUGGGAGGCUUUGAAGUGUGGACGCCAGUCUGCAUGGAGCCGACCUUGAAAUACCACCCUUUAAUGUUUGAUGUUCUAACGUUGACCCGUAAUCCGGGUUGCGGACAGUGUCUGGUGGGUAGUUUGACUGGGGCGGUCUCCUCCUAAAGAGUAACGGAGGAGCACGAAGGUUGGCUAAUCCUGGUCGGACAUCAGGAGGUUAGUGCAAUGGCAUAAGCCAGCUUGACUGCGAGCGUGACGGCGCGAGCAGGUGCGAAAGCAGGUCAUAGUGAUCCGGUGGUUCUGAAUGGAAGGGCCAUCGCUCAACGGAUAAAAGGUACUCCGGGGAUAACAGGCUGAUACCGCCCAAGAGUUCAUAUCGACGGCGGUGUUUGGCACCUCGAUGUCGGCUCAUCACAUCCUGGGGCUGAAGUAGGUCCCAAGGGUAUGGCUGUUCGCCAUUUAAAGUGGUACGCGAGCUGGGUUUAGAACGUCGUGAGACAGUUCGGUCCCUAUCUGCCGUGGGCGCUGGAGAACUGAGGGGGGCUGCUCCUAGUACGAGAGGACCGGAGUGGACGCAUCACUGGUGUUCGGGUUGUCAUGCCAAUGGCACUGCCCGGUAGCUAAAUGCGGAAGAGAUAAGUGCUGAAAGCAUCUAAGCACGAAACUUGCCCCGAGAUGAGUUCUCCCUGACUCCUUGAGAGUCCUGAAGGAACGUUGAAGACGACGACGUUGAUAGGCCGGGUGUGUAAGCGCAGCGAUGCGUUGAGCUAACCGGUACUAAUGAACCGUGAGGCUUAACCUUACAACGCCGAAGGUGUUU